UCCCCGGCUAGGCAUGGCGUCAUGAACCAUGCCGAAAAGGCGGAUAGCCUUGUCGCCCUGCCGGGGAUCUAUCAAGGG
rnacentral:ncRNA from 1 species